GAAACGGCAACAACAUGCAUAUCAAAACACAAGAUUAUUGAAGAUAUGUCAUCAACUUUUUUUUCUUAAUUUUUUCUUAAAAUUACAUAUAAUCUCCUUGAUUUUACAUUGAAGAAACAACAACCUUGGCAAUGUCAUAAUACACAAUUCUUCAAAAGAUCUUCAACUUUUUUCUCCUUAUUUUGAGCUCAAAAUCAAUCUAAUAUCACAGAAUAUCAUCCUUGAUUUUUCUUUGAAAAAUCGUUUUGGCAGAUUUGUCACCACAGAAAAUCAGUUUAUGAUAUUUAUUGAAGAUUUGAGGGUUUCAAGUUACCAAUUGCUUGUUGUUUCAGAUGGAUGAAGAAACCCCUAAUAGGAGAUUGACAAGAGGGAUUGUGGAGUAUAUGUUAUUGCAUAUGCAGAGUAUAUUAGCCAUGAAAAAAGUGUACCACCAGGAGUGUUUGAUGUUGAAGCUUUAUGCACUUGGUAUGCUGCCCUUUUAUGACAUCACGGGACUCAGAAGAUUAAGAAAAAUGUCGUGAGUGCUGAUGAGAGUUCGAAUAGGCAAAUGAGACCACAGUUUAGUUGUGAUAAUACAAAAGUGAUUGUUAUUCCAUAGACAGUUUAAUUGUUAUUAUUAGAAUAACUUAUCAAUUUUUUUUUGGUAUAGCAACCUGUUUUAUAAUCCAGCUUUUGAUAUAGCAAGUUGAUUUAGAAUUUAAUUAUGGUAUAGGAAGGUAUUUUUGAAGUUGGUUUAUUGUAACAGUUAUGUGACUUGGGUAAUUUUUUUUGAAACAUCAUAGUAUUUAUAUGAAGUUGUUUUGAUAUAUAUACAAAUUUUCAACUAACA